CAAUAGCGUAUAUUAAAGUUGUUGCGGUUAAAAAGCUCGUAGUUGGAUUUCUGUUGGGAACGACCGGUCUGGCGCUUAGCGCGAGUACUUGCAUCGUCUCCGGCCAUCCUUGGGGAGAGUCUGUCUGGCAUUAGGUUGUCGGGCAGAGGAUCCUCAUCGUUUACUGUGAAAAAAUUAGAGUGUUCAAAGCAGGCUUAUGCCGUUGAAUAUAUUAGCAUGGAAUAAUAAGAUAGGACUUUGGUACUAUUUUGUUGGUUUGCGCACCAAAGUAAUGAUUAAUAGGGACAGUUGGGGGUAUUCGUAUUCCGUUGUCAGAGGUGAAAUUCUUGAAUUUACGGAAGACGAACUACUGCGAAAGCAUUUACCAAGGAUGUUUUCAUUAA
rnacentral:rRNA from 1 species